rnacentral:rRNA from 1 species
UGGGGAAUAUUGCACAAUGGGCGCAAGCCUGAUGCAGCAACGCCGCGUGCGGGAUGACGGCCUUCGGGUUGUAAACCGCUUUUAGUAAGGAAGAAGCCUUUCGGGGUGACGGUACUUGCAGAAAAAGGACCGGCUAACUACGUG